rnacentral:rRNA from 1 species
GACAGAGGAUGCAAGCGUUAUCCGGAAUGAUUGGGCGUAAAGCGUCUGUAGGUGGCUUUUAAGUCCGCCGUCAAAUCCCAGGCUCAACCCUGGACAGGCGGUGGAACUACCAAGCUGGAGUACGGUAGGGCAGAGGGAAUUUCCGGUGGAGCGGUGAAAUGCGUAGAGAUCGGAAGAACACCAACGGCGAAAGCACUCUGCUGGCCGACACUGACACUGAGAGACGAAAGCUAGGGGAGCGAAUGGG